CUGACUACAACUACCGCUUAAAAAAUGUAGCGAAUUAUUUCGCUAUUUCGCUACGCUAUAUUUUUUAGUUUUACUGUAUUUGGAGCAUCUACUAGCUCAGGCUGUAAUGUAACCUAUAACAAAUCGACUUACGAGUAGCAACAGGAAACACAAAACAACAUUUUUGUAAGCACUUAGUACAGUGUUCAGUACAGAGACUAGAGUGGAAAUUGAUCGACUAUUGAGUUUAAGCAAACCGUGUCUAUAUCAUUCUCCAAUAUCAUGUUAUUCUAUCAAGUAAGUUGCUAACAGACUAACAGUUUUAAAAAGUAGCGAAUAGCGAUUCGCUGUUUGAAAAGUAGUCAACUACUUGGCUACUUUUAGGCAAAAUGUAGUUCGCUAUAACUACAGCUACUGUUUUAAAAAAGUAGACUUAAGCCCCGCUUUUAAAUACACUACGCUCAAUUUUCGGUACGGCACGGAUAAAAUUGGUAUCCGUACCACUUUUUUGGUUCUUGGCCUACCUAUUUAGAUAGUCAAGAACCAAAAAAGUGGUACGGUACCAAAAAUUGAGCGUAGUGUAAACGGGGCUUAAGUCAAAAACUACUGGCCACUUGAAAAUUGUAGUUCGCUACAGCAGUGAACUACAACUACUUUGCUACUACCCACCCUUGAAUUUUAACUUGCUAGCUGGCCUCUAAUCGUGAAUUGAGUGAUUUUAAAAUAAUUUACAGACUUUACAGUUAAGGCCCCACUCUUUUAAAGUAGCACUCUCGUCAAAAUUUUUAUUUUCUUACUGUAAACGAAAAUGCUCUUAAAACUGUAUGGUAACUUGUUUUGAAGAAAAACCAUGUGACGUCAUUUACUCAAUUACAUAUAUAAUGAGAUAUCAUUAUAAAUUGUUGUGUAUCUUUGCUAUUUUUGAUGGAUUUGUUUAAAAAACCCAGUAUGUUUAAUGAUGUAGAUUAAUUUAACAAACGCGUCGCAUCUUUGGAAAGAUUUUGAUAAAAAUAGCAAAGAUAGACAACAAGUUACUAUACAGUUUUAAGAGAUUUUCGUUUAAGAAAAAAAUUUUGACGAGAGUGCCACUUUAAGCCUUUCUUUCUCUUAUAAAUUUGCACAAUAAUUUAUAUUAAAAAACUCAUUAAUAAUUCAUGAAGAAAACACAAAGAAAAAUCAUAAGCGUGUCGUAUCUGUAUGUGUGAUACAGAUUCAUGUUGAUUUACAUAAACUUUAACUUUGAUUUUCGCGUCCGUGUUGUAUCAGAUAUACAAACUCUCGCCUUCGGCUCGAGUUUGUAUAUCUGAUACAACACGGCCGCUCAUGUUGUAAACAUUACUGACAUUACUAAUUUUACAGCAAUUAACUUUAAGC